rnacentral:rRNA from 1 species
UACGAAGGGGGCUAGCGUUGUUCGGAAUUACUGGGCGUAAAGCGCGCGCAGGCGGCUAUCCAAGUCAGUGGUGAAAGCCCGGAGCUCAACUCCGGAACUGCCAUUGAAACUGUUUAGCUUGAGGAUGAGAGAGGUGAGUGGAAUUCCCAGUGUAGAGGUGAAAUUCGUAGAUAUCGGGAAGAACACCGGUGGCGAAGGCGGCUCACUGGCUCAUUACUGACGCUCAGGCGCGAUAGCGUGGGGAUCAAACAGG